rnacentral:rRNA from 1 species
UACAGAGGGUGCGAGCGUUAAUCGGAAUUACUGGGCGUAAAGCGUGCGUAGACGGUUAUUUAAGUCGGGUGUGAAAGCCCCGGGCUCAACCUGGGAAUUGCAUUCGAGACUGAAUAGCUAGGGUACGGUAGAGGGAAGCGGAAUUUCCGGUGUAGCGGUGAAAUGCGUAGAUAUCGGAAGGAACAUCAGUGGCGAAGGCGGCCCUCUGGUCCAGUACUGACACUCAAGUGCGAAAGCGUGGGGAGCAAACAGG